UGGGCUGUAGCUCAGUGGUAGAGCACUUGCCUAGCAGGCCCGAGGCCCUAGGUUCAAUCGCUAGCAGUGCAU
rnacentral:tRNA from 1 species